rnacentral:rRNA from 1 species
AUACGGAGGGUGCGAGCGUUGUUCGGAAGUAUUGGGCGUAAAGAGCAUGUAGGCGGUCUGUUAAGUCUGGUGUGAAAGCCCGGGGCUCAACCCCGGAAGUGCAUUGGAUACUGGCAGACUUGAGUAUGGGAGAGGAAAGCGGAAUUCCGAGUGUAGGAGUGAAAUCCGUAGAUAUUCGGAGGAACACCAGUGGCGAAGGCGGCUUUCUGGACCAAUACUGACGCUGAGAUGCGAAAGCGUGGGGAGCAAACAGGAUUAGAUACCCUAGUAGUCC